AGGAUAAUAGUUAAAAAUAACGUUUGAUUUGCAUUCAAAAAUUAUUAAAUAUUAAUUUAAUUUA
rnacentral:tRNA from 1 species